UCACAUUUGUUUCAUGUGGAUGGGAGGGGUCAGCCUCAGAUGCAGGGGUGCUUCGAUCUGCUAUUAGCAAAGGAUUUAGUGUGCCAGAAGGAAAGUUUUAUCUAGUAGAUGGUGGUUAUGCAAAUACAUCAUCCUUCAUUGCACCAUAUAGAGGGGUUCGAUACCAUCUCAACGAGUUUAGGAGGCGUCGUUCAUCACAAAGUGGUUAUGCGAAAUACAGAGAGUUGUUCAACCACCGCCAUGCAAUUCUCUGUAACCAUAUAGAGAGGGCCAUCAGUGUUCUAAAGAAAAGGUUCUCGAUUCUAAAAGUAGGCACAUUUCAUCCCAUAGAGAACAAAUUAAGAUCGCAGCUGCAACUGUUGCAUUUCACAACAUAAUUAGAGGGCAAAAUGGAGACGAAAGAUGGCUUGACAACCAACCGGAUUACAUCUCUCCAAGUCAAUAUGUUGAUGUUCCAGAGGGAGAUAUCAACUAUCUCAAUGACACAGAAUCAAGUGAUGGAAGUGCUCUAAGAGAUCAGAUCGCACUUCAGAUGUGGGCUGCCUACAAUAGCUAGAUGUUAUAAUAGGAUGCCUACAAUAGCUAGAUGUGGGCUGCCUACUAUUAUUACUUAUGAAGUCUUUAUGGUUUGUAGUUUGUCAUGUAGGUAGUUGCCAAGUUAUGAACUUAAAGUUGCUUAGUUAUGUACUAUUAUUUCCACAAUUUCAGUUUUGAAUAAAGGAUGAUUUGGAACAAUGUGUACGAGAAAGGCUUAGUCGAUGUGAUGCAUGAUCACAAAGAUAAUCCAAAAUUCAAAGGUCAAAAUGGUUGGAAUCAUGAUGGAUGGAACAGUAUCACUACCAAGUUCAAUGAAAAGUUCCCUCUAGCUCAUUUCUCUAAACAACAACUGCAAGAGAAGGAGAGAGAGCUUAAAGGAUACUACAAGACAAUAAGGGAUUCAAGAAAAGAAAGCAGGGUUGGUUGGAAUGACACCCUAUGCAUGGUACUAGCUGAACCAGAAGUUUGGCCAAGCUGAUUCGCGUAUCAAAGUUUCGCAACAGGCCAUUCCCUCUUUUUUACAGUUUAGAAGGGCUAUAUGAAGGUAGUGUGGCUACCGGAGAGUUAAAUUUCACAUCAACCUUUGUUGAUCUUCCUCCACCUUCAGCUCCAUCCAGGAGUGUGUCUGGACAAAGUCUCAAUCCCUUGAGUACUAAUUCACUUGAUUUGGAUGGACAAGAAACCACAAGUGUCUUCAAUCUAUCUUCUGAUGCUCAAUCUGUCCCAGUCAAUACUAAUGAACCCACUGAAGCUCAAUUUGUCCCAUCUAAUCAAGAAUCAAGCCAGAGAGAAGGUGGCAGUGGGAGAAAGCGUAAGCAAAGCCAUGUUGGAUUAGCUCUUGAAAAUUAUGUGGAGUUUAAAAAGAUCCAAAAUACAGAAACACUUGAAACUCUUAAAGAACAUAAGAGGCAAGAGGAUCAAUUUUCUAUUAGCAAGUGUCAGGCUGAAUUGAAAGGAAUGGAUGGAUUAACAGCCGAGGACAAAUCAUACGCUUUGGUGCUUUUUGAAUAUGCGAUAAAUAGAGAGGUUUUCUUAACAACAACGGAGCAUGAUGUUAGAGAAAUUUGGCUCAAGCGCAAAAUUAGGUUGCUUAGAAGCAGUGUGCAGUGAUGCGAGACAUGGAUGCGAGAGUGCAAAGUGGAAGCAACACAUGAAGUCGACAUGGAGAAGGAAAAUGCAAUGACAGUCCACAUGAAACUUGUGAAAAAAGAAUUAAAUCCCAAAGUUCCUAAUGAAGAGACUUGUAUUACAGUUUUAUGUUAUAUUGUCUAUCUAUUUGUGUGAAUGGAGAUGACCUUGAUGGAUGGAUUAGCUUCGCUAAUGCUUUAGUUUGCUGCUGCUGCUUAAGUUUGCUACUGAUGAUGCUUCUACUGUAAUUUACUACUUUAUUUUGCUCGACAAACUAUUGUGAUGAUGGAUAAAGUGUGAUGUGAUGAUGGAUGAACC